UGUAGUGUGGCUGGUUCGUUGUGAGGACCCAGAAGCCGACACUGAGACUGAGAUCAACUUAAAGUGAAUUUUAAUGUCCAAACAAGAGGUUGUUAGUGCAAAAGAGGAUGUCCGGUAGGCUGGUUGGCUGGCUGUCGCGUGGGCUGGAGACACUGCAGGAAAAAACCAGAAGAGACGGAAGUUACUGAACAUGCACAGAAUCACGAGGAGCAAAGUUCUGAUAGUGAUACAAACGAGGUUGGCCAGGAGAUGCGUCUUUACCGAUAGGAAGCGUAGACAAUACUCAGGCCCUGAGGCUGAGGGCUGUAGGCUUCUUAAAGUGCCUUGAUUGGAGAUGUGGAGCAGGUGUGUAGUCUCACUCAGCCUCAGCGCCGGGGGAGGGGAGGAAGCUCUGGAAGAAAGUAAAGCCAGACCAGGCAGACAGGAAAACACAGGAAGUCCAGCCAAAACAAAACAAGAUGAGGAGGCGUCUCACCACAGUACCCCCCCCUUAACGAAUGCCUCUUGGCGUUCUGCCAGGCUUGUUGGGGUAAGCGACGUAGAAGUUGUCAAGGAGUUGGUGGUCCAGGAUGAGGGAGCGGGAGAUCCAGGAACGCUCCUCUGGACCGUACCCCUCCCAGUCCACGAGAUAUUGGAAGCCUCGCCCCCGAGGCCGCACGUCCAGGAUUUUCCGUACAGUGAGGGCAGGGUGGUCGUCAAUCAACCGGGGGGUGGAGGGGCGAUGGAAGGAGGGCUCAGGGUGCACGAGGUAACAGGUUUUAUCAAGGAGACAUGGAAUGUGGGGUGAAUUUUGAGAGAUGAAGGAAGUUUCAAUCUCACCGCUGAAGGGUUGGUGAUUUUCUGGAUAGGAAAGGGACCAAUGAAGCGGGGGGACAGCUUGCGGGACUUGGUCUGCAGGGAAAGGUCACGGACGAUAACCAGACCAUCUGACAGGGACGAUAGCCUGGUGCUGGGAAGCGGUGCACAUCAGCCAGGCGUUUUUUGCGCUCGGCCGUGCGGGUAAGUUUGGAGGAGUGCCCCCACUGUAGGACCUGGGAACGUGCAACCCCAGGGACGAAUUUUCUGUCCGGCGGGCCAGUUCCCAGGUCUGGGUGGUUCUGGAGGUCCUGGCCCACGAUGUUGUCGAUCUCCCAAGAGGUGGAGCCGAUGACACAGGAGGCAGGGAGGAUGGUGUCUGGUUCGCUGGGGUCCAGGGUAACCGAGGAGUGGGUCCGAGAGAGGGCGUCUGGUUUGAGGUCGUGGGAGUCGGGACGAUAGGAGAUGGUGAAGGUGAAUCUGCGGAGGACGAGGGACCAGCGGGCUUGCCUGUAGUUGAGGCGUUGAGCAGAAAGGAGGUAAUGAAGGUUUCUGUGGUUAGUCCAGAUGAGGAAUGGGUGUUGCGCUCCUUCCAGCCAGUGUCUCCAUUUUUGGAGUGCCCACACGACAGCCAGCAACUCACGGUUUCCCACGUCGUGCUUUCGUCGGUGGUUGAGAAUUUCCGGAAGAAGUAGGCGCAAGGAUGGAGCUUCUGGGUCUCGGUAUCCCUCUGUGAGAGGACGGCCCCCACUCCGAAGUCCGAGGCGUCGACCUCCACCAUGAACUGGAAAGAAGGAUCCGGGUGUCUGAGCACAGGGGCCGAGCGGAGGCAAUGAGAGUGGCAGUGAGGGCUCCAGGCGGAGAUUGACGCUGUGGACCAGUUGAUCUGGGGAUUGUGGAUCUGCAGCCACGGGAGUCCCAGCACCAGGGGAGAGUGAGGAGAGGGAAGCAGGAACAGCCGGAUGUCCUCCCGAUGGUUACCGGAGAGGAUGAGGGUGAGAGGAGCAGUGCAGUGGGUGAUAGAGGCUAUCACUCUGCCAUCAAGAGCGGUGACCUUACGGGGGACCAGGAGUUCCUCCAGGGGGAGCUGAAGUCGCGCUGCCAGUCCGGCGUGAAUGAAGUUAUCGUCCGCCCCGGGGUCAAUAAGGGUUUGGAGCGACGUGGAGCCCUUCCCCCACAGGAGACAGGCAGGAACAGCGUUACGUCUGGGAGAGCUGGGAACAGAGGAGGUGUGGCUCUUCAGGGUGCCGACUGUCACUGAUGCCUGGCCAUUUAACUUAUUCGGGCAGUUGGCCAAAAAGUGACCGGCCUGGCCACAAUUAACACAGAGCUUCAGCUCUAUCCUCCAUCUCCGUUCAUCCGGGUGUAGUUUGGUGCGGCCGAUCUGCAUGGGUUCCCCGGGAGAGGACGCCGGAUCCGGGAAGACUGAGGGCUGCAGAGGAGACCCGCUGACCGCAAUAGAGGAAGGGGAGUCUAUACUAUGUACCGGGGAAUGAGUUUUCUUCUCCCUCCGUCUCUCCCUGAGGCGAUUAUCUAUUCUGAGGGCUAACGCUGUUAGCUCCUCAAGGGAAGAGGGCUCAUCUCGAGCCGCUAGCUCGUCUUUCAAUUGUUCAGAUAGCCCCCGGGUGAAUAUCCCCUUUAAUUCGAGUUCCCCCCACCCACUCUCGGCCGCCACUGUACGGAACUCAAUGGAGUACUCCGCCACUGACCGAGAGCUCUGGGUGAGGGAGAACAACCGUUUGGUAAUUUCAGAACCCUUGACAGGAAAAUCAAAUAUUUUACGAAGCUCCUCAGAAAACCGGGCAUAUGAGGAGAACAUAGGGGAUUCAUGAUCCCAGACGGCCGUAGCCCACUUAGCGGCUUUGCCUCUUAGCAAAUUAAUAGUGUAGGCUAUCUUAGACUGAUCUGAGGGGUAACUAAUGGGCUGUUGGUCGAUGACUAGUGCGCAGCGGAGCAGGAAACCUCUGCAGCCCCCAAUCUCCCCAGCAUGCGGCUCAGGAGGAGGGACAUAGGGCUCUUUGAGGAUAGAGGGUGGUGAAGAGGGGACCGUACUCACAAAGGGGGGAGAUCCUGUUUGCUGCGGUGGAAGCCGAGAGAGUAGUUGCUCCGCCAGCUGCGCCACUUGGACAGAGAGGCCUUGAAAAGAAUGAUUGAGAUCCUGGAGCAUAUCCUCAUGUUGACCCAGCUGAGUACCGAGCUUCUGGAGGGCUUGCUGAACUCUGUCUGGGUCUGCUGGGUCCAUUUUCCUGGCCUGAGUAUUCUGUAGUGUGGUUGGUUCGUUGUGAGGACCCAGAAGCCGACACUGGGACUGAGAUCAACUUAAAGUGAAUUUUAAUGUCCAAACAAGAGGUUGUUAGUGCAAAAGAGGAUGUCCGGUAGGCUGGUUGGCUGGCUGUCGCGUGGGCUGGAGACACUGCAGGAAAAAACCAGAGGAGAUGGAAGUUAUUGUACAUGAAAAGAGUCACGAGGAGCUAAGUUCUGAUAAAAACGAGGUUGGCCAGGAGACGUGUCUUUAACGCUAGGAAGGGUAGUCAAUACUCAGGCCCUGAGGCUGAGGGCUGUAGGCUUCUUAAAGUGCCUUGAUUGGAGAUGUGGAGCAGGUGUGUAGUCUCACUCAGCCUCAGCGCCGGGGGAGGGGAGGAAGCUCUGGAAGAAAGUAAAGCCAGACCAGGCAGACAGGGAAACACAGGAAGUCCAGCCAAAAUAAAACAAGAUGAGGAGGCGUCUCACCACACAGAUAUAGAUCAGAAUAUAUCUAUAUAGAUCUAAAUGUAUGUGCUGACUCAGAUUAUAAGUUGUUGAUGAUUAUUUAUUGCACUAAAAUGUGCCUGACACUGUGGAAACCUGCCGGUGAGGCAUCGGUGAAGUAUACCACUAGACCAACUGCGCUCUGCCUGCGCUUAAAACUAACCAGGUUUGGAUCGGCAAGCUUUCAGCACACUUUAUACGCCACCGGUGAGCAUGAAAAUUUUACUGCGGCAGCUGAUUCUAUUGACACCUCCCCCUGCCACACCGCCAUGCCCAGCUUGGUGGACCUCGGUGCGCCUCAGUCUACGAAAAUACCAAACUGGCUGUAUGCCGGGCUCAGCCAGACAAAAAUACCACUGCACAGGGUCUGCCACCCUCCACCGCCUCACCGGUGGACACGAAAAUAGAGCCCAAGGACUCUAUCUCUCCAGCAGAGGAAGCUGAGGUCUUGCUGGAGUGUUAAAAACACCACCAAAAACAAGCUGCAGGCUGUUAUCAGGGGCCUAUUCUACGAAGCAGGUUCAACCUAGCGAGGUAGCAUUGGAGCUACCUUGCUGAACUUAGCGAGGUAAACGGUCGCUAAACGGUCGCUAAACGGUUGCUAAACGGUCGCUAAACGGUCUUACGGCGCUGGUUAUCAACCUUGUUGGUGGAUCCAGCUUUGCUAUGAGCGCGUGCACGCAUGUAAGGCAGAGCCCGCCACAUCUGACCAAUCGCGAACAUGGACCAGUCUGGAGCGUCAGAGCAGGCCGGAGAGUGAAGGACCACGUACUUUACAAACGAGGAGCAGGAGACGAUCAUGAGAAAGUAUGAAGAAUUCAAAUCUAUCAUACACCUCAAAAGCAACACCGUUUCCGCUGCAAAAGCACGGAAGGAAUGCUGGCAGAAUAUUGCAGACACUCUCAAUGCGUAAGUAUAGUGUGCAAAAAAAUCUUGCCAUUAUCACCCUAAAAUAGCACUGUUCAACAUGCGCUUUUAACAUGCACCAGACAUGACUAAUUCAUUUCCAAGAUGAAUUCAUUUAUUUGUUCAUUCCUAUCGUGUUUACAUUUUUUGUGUGAUAUGUAGGCCAUAUGAGCCUUUCAUAAAGGUGGUCAUCCAGAAAAGUGAAUGGGUCCGUGUGGUCCCUGAAAUCUCUCGCGUGCCGGAGUGCUCCUCAGACAAUGCGAGCACCGAGGUCCAUAGGAUCCUCCAAGAAUGGACAAGCAAUUUUUCGAUAGAACUCAUUGGUCAGUGGGCGGGGUUUUUAUACUCGGUGAGUUCAAUCUGGAACCUAACCUGCCCCAGACCAGUUUAGCCGUUCAGCGUACGUUGCCAUGGAGACUCGCCUCGCUAAGAAGUGAACCCGAGUUGUAGAACAGGAAACCCCGAACUUACCCUCAAAGUUACCUCGCUAAGCAGUAAUCCUGCAUCGUAGAAUAGGCCCCAGGUUCCCAUGAGGCUGUAGUGCAGGCGAGAUGUGACUGGCUGUAGACUCAAUGUGGCGAAUACAGUAACAUCACAAACCUGCGAGUCAACACUGCAGGCCAAUGACAUCAUCCUUGCUCAAUGUGCAGUAAUCUGGCAUCUCCUUGAACAUUAUGCACGCCUCUGAGCAGGUGUUGCAUUAAACGCAGCUCUCAGAGAUACUCCACCAUAGCGAGCAGGGAUUCCUGAGCUGCUUGAAUAAAUAUCUGAAAUAACUGAGACACUUUGGAGAGCGUCUCACUCCUGAGGAAAACAUCUCAGGCUUUAUUCUGAGACAUAUUAGAAAUGAUGGAGACCAAACAGACGCUGAGACAAGUUUUGUUCCUGAGGUCUCUUGAGAUGUUUUCUGACACUGACAGGGACGUCCAUUUAUAGUCAGAGUACCUGUUGAGUGCAACUUUGAACAUGUCUUUCACCUGCUGCAGAGACUUCAAGGAGCUGGUCUGAAGUGUUUCUCACUUUGAAUGAAAGAACAGUUGAAGCAUAGACUGUUCAUUUUUAAUGCCUGGAGUUAUUUCUUAAGUGUGUCUUUGAAGGUUCCCGUGAAACUUGCUCAGUGUUUCUGUUAUAGCAGAGGGAGGCUGCAGUCUAAUUGUAAUGCUUAAUUUAUCCUUAUGAAGUCAAGCUUUGACUGAUCUUCAUUUACAGCUUGUGAGCAGAUGUUGUAAAUGUGGACGGCAGCCUUAGACAGACCAUACCCCAGACGAACCACAAAGAUUUCGCUAUCACACUGAAUAUUUGUCACACUCAUGCAGGCUUUUGACUUUGAAUGGCAGCAACCUUGGCCAGUUCUCUCUUGUAAAAGAGAUUUCUAAUCUCAAUGGGACUAACUGGUUGAAUAAAGGUCAAAAACAAAUAAAAAUAAGUGACACAUUUAUAAUGUUGAACUGACAAGGGCCGUACAGCAGAGUCCAGAGAGGAUGUUUUAACCUGUCCUUUAAUAUUUUACAGCCAAAGAGAAGGACCCAAAAUGGGACCUGUUUUUUCUUUCAGUUUUACAGCUUUAUUUAUUUUAUUUCCUUCACAGCAGGAAAGUCCUGGUUCACCUGUAGCUCUUUAUCAACUCUCUUUUUAAUUCUAUAAAUGUUACUUUACAUGAUGUUACCGUCAUGAAAAUGUCAGGUUGAGUACAAAAGUGCUCCCUGGAUAGUGGUCAGAUAAAAACUGAUGUAUGCUCAUUUCUGUCUGAUGGUGAUGUGACGUUUUCUGAUCUUGUUUUUAAGGGGAAGGGUGAGAAAAAUAAAAUAACUCUUUUCUCAAAAACUCCUCUGGGCUCUGCUAUGGACCAUGGGCUGUGUCAUUAUAAAUUAAAAAAACUGUGAGGGGCCUACAGCUCUCCUGCUCCAUGCUGUCAGUCACUUGUGUGUUUGAGUUUGGUUAGAGGUUGCAGUGAGACUUUUAGAAGAUGACCUCGGUGCAAAAAUUCAGGAAUGAACUACACGAAGACAGAAUCAAGCUGGCAGCCUCUCGCGGGAUUUUAUUCUUGUCACAGCAUCAAAAACAGCUCAUGAACAAUCGAACAGACAGAACCCAGAACAGAAAAACCACAGAUCUCUUAUAGUACUCCUCUGACGUCACUGAUCUCAACUUUUGCCAAAUGUGUGUGCGAAGCUACCUUCGUGUGUGUAUCACUUUCCCGUGGGAGAGCUCCCUACGUGACUUCUCCCUUGCCACUAUCUCUGAAGCCAAUUCCUGUUAUUGCAACACAGUUCACCAUGACCCGAUAAAGUUUAUGUUAUUGCAACACAGUUCACCAUGACCUGAUAAAGUUUAUCCCAACCUGACCUCUCCCACCAUAUCCUGUUUUCUUGCCUCAUAGCAACCUCCAAAACAUCCAACCAUAUCUGUUAUUUUCCCCCACAUAUUCCCCCUUUGAAUCUUUUCAAGAUUAAACGAGUUCAAUGACGCCGUUGGAGAUUCAAGCCUUAGUUACGUUACAUGAAUGAGUUAUGACAACAUUAUGUGAUAUGAUACUACUAGAUUGAUUACAGAUGCAUAUGUAUGUUUUCAAACCAAUCCAACUCAUGCUUGUUAUCACGAAUGUUACAUUUUCAUAAACACAACACUUAAAUCACUUGUGACUUGGUUCACAUCUGGCAGGGGCGAAAACCUGCUGGCUGCUUUGAGCAGGAAAUUCCCCUGCGGCCCC